ensembl:ncRNA F11D5.9 ncRNA
UUCAAAAGAGCAAUUUAUACCACCAAUGACACUUUCGGUACUCUAAAAAAUGGAGAAAUGAAAAAGCGAACGUUGUACUCGCGGUAGAUGAGGGUGUGAAGUAAUGAGAAAACCAAUUGGGCUUCUACGAUGAAUAGGUAGAGAAUAGGUGUGAGGACCAACCGCAAUAUGAGUUUUUGGCAGAUGACUUCUCUAGUAACACCGUGACUCAGA